rnacentral:rRNA from 1 species
UGGGGAAUAUUGGACAAUGGACCGAGAGUCUGAUCCAGCAAUUCUGUGUGCACGAUGAAGUUUUUCGGAAUGUAAAGUGCUUUCAGUUGGGAAGAAAAAAAUGACGGUACCAACAGAAGAAGUGACGGCUAAAUACGUGCCAGCAGCCGCGGUAAUACGUAUGUCACGAGCGUUAUCCGGAUUUAUUUGGGCGUAAAGCGCGUCUAGGUGGUUAUGUAAGUCUGAUGUGAAAAUGCAGGGCUCAACUCUGUAUUGCGUUGGAAACUGUAUAACUAGAGUACUGGAGAGGUAAGCGGAACUACAAGUGUAGAGGUGAAAUUCGUAGAUAUUUGUAGGAAUGCCGAUGGGGAAGCCAGCUUACUGGACAGAUACUGACGCUAAAGCGCGAAAGCGUGGGUAGCAAACAGGAUUAGAUACCCUGGUAGUCCACGCUGUAAACGAUGAUUACUAGGUGUUGGGGGUCGAACCUCAGCGCCCAAGCAAACGCGAUAAGUAAUCCGCCUGGGGAGUACGUACGCAAGUAUG